GCUCAGUUGGUAGAGCAUGGUGUUUGCAACGCCAGGAUUGUGGGUUCGAUCCCCAC
rnacentral:tRNA from 1 species